rnacentral:rRNA from 2 species
GAAGGCUAUGUUGGCCGGGCGACGGUUGUCCCGGUUUAAGCGUGUAGGCUGGUUUUCCAGGCAAAUCCGGAAAAUCAAGGCUGAGGCGUGAUGACGAGGCACUACGGUGCUGAAGCAACAAAUGCCCUGCUUCCAGGAAAAGCCUCUAAGCAUCAGGUAACAUCAAAUCGUACCCCAAACCGACACAGGUGGUCAGGUAGAGAAUACCAAGGCGCUUGAGAGAACUCGGGUGAAGGAACUAGGCAAAAUGGUGCCGUAACUUCGGGAGAAGGCACGCUGACACGUAGGUGAAGUGAUUUACUCAUGGAGCUGAAGUCAGUCGAAGAUACCAGCUGGCUGCAACUGUUUAUUAAAAACACAGCACUGUGCAAACACGAAAGUGGACGUAUACGGUGUGACGCCUGCCCGGUGCCGGAAGGUUAAUUGAUGGGGUCAGCGCAAGCGAAGCUCCUGAUCGAAGCCCCGGUAAACGGCGGCCGUAACUAUAACGGUCCUAAGGUAGCGAAAUUCCUUGUCGGGUAAGUUCCGACCUGCACGAAUGGCGUAAUGAUGGCCAGGCUGUCUCCACCCGAGACUCAGUGAAAUUGAACUCGCUGUGAAGAUGCAGUGUACCCGCGGCAAGACGGAAAGACCCCGUGAACCUUUACUAUAGCUUGACACUGAACAUUGAGCCUUGAUGUGUAGGAUAGGUGGGAGGCUUUGAAGUGUGGACGCCAGUCUGCAUGGAGCCGACCUUGAAAUACCACCCUUUAAUGUUUGAUGUUCUAACGUGGACCCGUUACCCGGGUUGCGGACAGUGUCUGGUGGGUAGUUUGACUGGGGCGGUCUCCUCCUAAAGAGUAACGGAGGAGCACGAAGGUUGGCUAAUCCUGGUCGGACAUCAGGAGGUUAGUGCAAUGGCAUAAGCCAGCUUGACUGCGAGCGUGACGGCGCGAGCAGGUGCGAAAGCAGGUCAUAGUGAUCCGGUGGUUCUGAAUGGAAGGGCCAUCGCUCAACGGAUAAAAGGUACUCCGGGGAUAACAGGCUGAUACCGCCCAAGAGUUCAUAUCGACGGCGGUGUUUGGCACCUCGAUGUCGGCUCAUCACAUCCUGGGGCUGAAGUAGGUCCCAAGGGUAUGGCUGUUCGCCAUUUAAAGUGGUACGCGAGCUGGGUUUAGAACGUCGUGAGACAGUUCGGUCCCUAUCUGCCGUGGGCGCUGGAGAACUGAGGGGGGCUGCUCCUAGUACGAGAGGACCGGAGUGGACGCAUCACUGGUGUUCGGGUUGUCAUGCCAAUGGCACUGCCCGGUAGCUAAAUGCGGAAGAGAUAAGUGCUGAAAGCAUCUAAGCACGAAACUUGCCCCGA